rfam:Schistosoma mattheei strain Denwood, Zambia genome assembly, scaffold: SMTD_scaffold0015285
AUCCAGCUGACAAGUCCCAAAUAUGACGAAACGUUUGUCCUGGAU